UACGGGGGGGGCAAGCGUUGUUCGGAAUUACUGGGCGUAAAGGGCUCGUAGGCUGCCAACUAAGUCAGACGUGAAAUCCCUCGGCUUAACCGGGGAACUGCGUCUGAUACUGGAUGGCUUGAGAUCGGGAGAGGGAUGCGGAAUUCCAGGUGUAGCGGUGAAAUGCGUAGAUAUCUGGAGGAACACCGGUGGCGAAGGCGGCAUCCUGGACCGAGAUUGACGCUGAUGCGCGAAAGCCAGGGGAGCAAACGGG
rnacentral:rRNA from 1 species